rnacentral:lncRNA from 1 species
UCUAUGGUUACCAGUGGUGUUUGUCUGAUACCCGACUAGAGUUAAUGUAAUGUUAGACUAUUUCUUAUAUACUCUGAGCGUAUAUAUGUUCGUGUUCGAUCUUUAAACCAAGUGCAUUAAUUUUCCGAGGUUCCCUUUAAUUAUACUUAACAACAUUUUUAAUUACUAUUUACUAUAGAUUCGGACUUUUUGUGGUUAGAUUACAGUGGGUGUUGCUCCCUCCACCUCCCCUUUUGCUCCCUUUACCUCCCCAUUCUAUUUUUACCCUUCACUUUAUUUUUCUAUUCCUAUUUUAUCCUUUUUAAUGAAAAAUUUAUUAGGUUAAAGAAUUUUUACUUACUACAUCACAUAACCUAUUAUUAUUAUUGAUUCUCUUUCACUAUUUUACGUUUUCAUUCUUACUGCUUUGUCGUGUAAUUAUUUCUCUUCUUUGUGGAAUUCUCUCUUCUUCUAUUUAAUGUUAGAGAGUGUGGUGAGUGAGAGAUUGGUAAAAGGAAUUGUUCUCCCUUACAAAAGUUCAAUCAUCUCUGCAUAGGAAGAAGGUAGAAGUUCAAUCAUCUCCGCGCUUUGAAGGCAGCGCUGUGAAGGUAGGACUAUGUAAAAAAAAAAAGGUGCGUGAAUAAACCCCCGUAAUGUCCAAACCCACCUUGAAAGGAUAUGAGCAUUUGUUGACGAAUAUGCGUCAUCCGUUUUAAAAGGCCAAACAUGCGACAUCCGUUCUAGCCUUAUGGGUCAUCGUCUUCCUGCACAGAACAUACAGAACACAGGCACCGGACAGCCAAACACAAGCAAACCAUGCACACAUUGAUCUAAGAUCACGCAUAUUAAAGACUAAAAAUCGAAACACCUGGUAGAGGAAUGCCCCGAUCUACACCACGCACCAUUAAUGCGAACCACCGCACCACGAACAACACACCACCACACCAGACCACUGUACCGCAUUGCCCCAAGACAGAUAGUAGAGUUUGGAAAGUAUGGAAGAAGUCACCGUGACGAAAAUGGGAGAAAAAGAAACGGAACUUAAAGUUUCAAGAGGGGUGGGGGAGUGAGAGCGUGACGGAAAUGGAAUAAAAAGAAUGAAGGGGUGCGGCUGGGAGAGAGUAAAAGUGAUAAAAGUUUAAAAGGUUAGGGUAGGGUUUAAGGUUAUUAAAAGUAAAAAAGUAAAAAAAUAAAAAAUAAAAAGGUUAAAAAAAGGAAAAGUUAAAGAUUAGUUUUGUAAUAAAUAAAAAUAUACAGAAAAUUGGGGAGGUACAGGGUGGAAAGGGGGAGGUGGAGGGAACAACUCCGAUUACAGUGAACAUUAGACACACCUGGUCCAACAAUACUUUAUCUGAUGUAGGUAAGGUCCAUUCAACUUUAUUUAUCUAAAAUCAUCACACAAUAUUUUAAGAUAUAUUUGUUAAUAUAAAUAUUUAUAUAUUAAUAUAUG